ACUGCUUUUCAGCCUUUGGCUAAGGUCAAGUGUAGUGUCUGCUCUUACCAGUUUCAUACCUGAUACACCCUCUGUCCCAGGACAAGAGGGUAAGUGGGUUUCUGGAGCAGAGAGAUGGAAUAGGAGCUCUGUCCGUCCGUCUGCUCCACGCAUCGACCUGGGAUUGCAGUAGUAAUGGUGCAUCCCCG
ensembl:snRNA U2 U2 spliceosomal RNA